AACGACUCUCGGCAACGGAUAUCUCGGCUCUCGCAUCGAUGAAGAACGUAGCGAAAUGCGAUACUUGGUGUGAAUUGCAGAAUCCCGUGAACCAUCGAGUCUUUGAACGCAAGUUGCGCCCGAAGCCUUCCGGCCGAGGGCACGUCUGCCUGGGCGUCAC
rnacentral:rRNA from 1 species